CACGUAGGGGACGAGCGUUGUCCGGAAUCAUUGGGCGUAAAGCGCGCGUAGGCGGCCCGGAAAGUCGGAUGUGAAAUCCCGAGGCUCAACCUCGGGUCUGCAGUCGAUACGAGCAAACUAGAGUGUUGCAGGGGAGACUGGAAUUCCUGGUGUAGCGGUGAAAUGCGCAGAUAUCGGGAGGAACACCUAUGGCGAAGGCAGCUCGCUGGGACGUUACUGACGCUGAGACGCGAAAGCGUGGGGAGCAAACAGG
rnacentral:rRNA from 1 species